UGGGGAAUAUUGGACAAUGGGCGAAAGCCUGAUCCAGCCAUGCCGCGUGUGUGAAGAAGGUCUUCGGAUUGUAAAGCACUUUAAGUUGGGAGGAAGGGCAGUAAGCGAAUACCUUGCUGUUUUGACGUUACCGACAGAAUAAGCACCGGCUAACUCUGUGCCAGCAGCCGCGGUAAUACAGAGGGUGCAAGCGUUAAUCGGAAUUACUGGGCGUAAAGCGCGCGUAGGUGGUUCGUUAAGUUGAAUGUGAAAGCCCCGGGCUCAACCUGGGAACUGCAUCCAAAACUGGCGAGCUAGAGUAGGGCAGAGGGUGGUGGAAUUUCCUGUGUAGCGGUGAAAUGCGUAGAUAUAGGAAGGAACCCCAGUGGCGAAGGCGACCACCUGGGCUCAUACUGACACUGAGGUGCGAAAGCGUGGGGAGCAAACAGG
rnacentral:rRNA from 1 species